rnacentral:rRNA from 1 species
CGGCAAUAGCGCCGUGGAACCACCUGAUCCCAUGCCGAACUCAGAAGUGAAACGCGGUAGCGCCGAUGGUAGUGUGGCAUUCGCCAUGCGAGAGUAGGACACUGCCAGGC